CACAAUUGUCAGGACACUGCUAGGACACAGGUUCAUUUCCUUGAACAGAGAAUAUUUGCACAGGAGAGAGAGUUCAAAAGAGAAUAAGGUUAGCUUAAAAUCCAAUGACUGGUAUUUUUAUGGGAGAAAUGAGACGGACACACAGACCCAGAGGAGACAGAGACACAGAGUAGGACUUGUGAAGACAGAGGCAGCAGAUAUUAGAGUUAUGUUGCCACAAGCCAAGGAACACCA
rnacentral:lncRNA from 10 species